AACAGGAUUAGAUACCCUGGUAGUCCACGCUGUAAACGGGGGGUACUAGGUGUGGGGUCCAUUCCACGGAUUCCGUGCCGUAGCUAGCGCUUUAAGUACCCCGCCUGGGGAGUACGGCCGCAAGGCUAAAACUCAAAGGAAUUGACGGGGCCCCGCACAAGCGGCGGAGCAUGCGGAUUAAUUCGAUGCAACGCGAAGAACCUUACCUGGGUUUGACAUGGAUCAGGAGUGCUCAGAGAUGGGUAUGCCUCUUUUGGGGUUGGUUCACAGGUGGUGCAUGGCUGUCGUCAGCUCGUGUCGUGAGAUGUUGGGUUAAGUCCCGCAACGAGCGCAACCCUCGUUCACUGUUGCCAGCACGUUAUGGUGGGGACUCAGUGGAGACCGCCGGGGUCAACUCGGAGGAAGGUGGGGAUGACGUCAAGUCAUCAUGCCCCUUAUGUCCAGGGCUUCACGCAUGCUACAAUGGCCGGUACGAAGAGUUGCGAGCCUGUGAGGGUGAGCGAAUCUCGGAAAGCCGGUCUCAGUUCGGAUUGGGGUCUGCAACUCGACCUCAUGAAGUCGGAGUCGCUAGUAAUCGCAGAUCAGCAACGCUGCGGUGAAUACGUUCCCGGGGCUUGUACACACCGCCCGUCAAGUCAUGAAAGUCGGUAACACCCGAAGCCGGUGGCCUAACCUUUUGUGGGGGAGCCGUCGAAGGUGGGACUGGUAAUUAGGACUAAGUCGUAACAAGGUAACC
rnacentral:rRNA from 1 species